ensembl:lncRNA
GUUACCAAGAGCUCAAGAGAGGAACUCAAGAAGUGUUCCUUGAAAUUAUGAAGACAAAUAUGUUAAAAACCUGGACAUUUUAUCUUUGGGUGAAGAUGCAAUUUCUUUUCCCUUUCUUCAAAUGACUAGCACAAUUUCUGAUACCCCUAAACUCUUUCUUAUGGAGCCAGUUGUGCAAGUAGGGGAGAUUCCAGGAAAACAGUGAGCUUAAAUAUGAAAGGAGAGACCUGUCUCAGUAAUUUAAGAGAGGAAGGAAAAGAUGAGUGAGGUUUUGAGCUGAUAAGACUGACUAGGUGAUAUUCCUCAAUAACACUCAGCAGUUUGAUUUUUGUUCUUAUUUUGAUGAGGCAGUUUCUUGAGAAGAAUGGGGACCGGCUUCAUUUUUGUUUGUUUUUAGAGUGAACAAUGGUGUCCUCCCUCUUUCCUUGAACAAUGGGAAUACAAUAUUACAGCUCGUGUUUUGUUAAAACUAUCAAAGUAGCACAUCUGUCCCAAAGAGCUCACUUUUGCCAGGGCUGGCUACAGACACACACAGAGACACAAGCACUGUGAGCCUCAACCCCAGAGUCACAGCAAUCCAGGUGGACUCAGUAUCGUGUUUUCUGUCACUGUCCAUUCUUCCUUCUACAGGGCAGUGCCUGUGUUCCCAUGCUCCUCUGAUGCAUUACAUGAUCCAAUGUCCUGUUGCUUUCCUACCAUUGCACCCUUCAGUGUCUAUGCCAUCCCAAGGGCUUUAUGAUUUCUAUUCUUGCAUUUUCAUUCUUCUCAAAGACACAGGAUUUUACUCCAUGCCCUUCUGUUUGCUUUCAGUGCUCCCCUCGUGUCCUUGUACAGCUCGUUCUUCAGAUGUGGUUGAUUCAAGACAGGGUGUUGGGUUGCUGCCACCAGAAGGGGUGGUUCUGCUCCCUCCAGAGCCAUUUUCCUCGGCAUCACUCUUGUCAAGCCCUUUGUGGGCCGUGAGAUGAUACAAUGCUGUCCAUGAAUUCACUGAAACUUAAUGUUGUAAUUCUAUGUUGGAGAGCUUUUACAAAGCAGUACUGAAAUACUAAGUCCUGGAAAAUUAGGCUUACAAGAAUUUUGUGCAAGUGCACAGCUGAAUUUGUAUUAUUAACAUCCUUGUUUUGUGUUCAGAGUGAUAGUAAGUGCUACAGAGCUGUAAUUAGUGCUGGGUGGUGAUUGAGCCUUGCUAUCAUUCUGCAUCAGUUUGUUACUGUUAGAGUCACCUGAACCUGUUCCUUGCUCAUCCAGUCAGCUAAUUAGUGACUUAGAGAAAAGGUGGCAUUUAUUUGUACUAGAAGAAAUGGCCUUUUAUUUUUAUGCAGAAGGAAAAAACAGGUCAAAAAACAACUCGCUCCUUCUUCAUCCACUUGCAGUGCAAGGCAAGAUGAUAACGCUUAUCCCAUCAGGAGGUAGAUUUCACUUUUUUCUUCAUUUCCUGUUGCAUUAGGCUUGUAUUUUCUUCCUGGAAUUAUUCUCUCUUUUUUGUUGUUGUUUUGGGUGUGUUUUGUUGUUUGUUCAUUUGUGGUUUUUUUGGGGUGUAUGUGUGUACCCUCAGAUUGGUGGUAAUGCUGGGACCAUGUUCUGGAGUUUUCAUUAAAAAGCAGAUUCCUAAAAAGGAUUUCUCCUUUAGAUUAAAGCUUCCUCACUGUGUGAUUGAAUUCUGACUGGCGGUGAUAGGCAGACAAUAGAUGAAGACUCUGUCCUCACCUAUUUACCAAAUUGUUCAAAUGGU